rnacentral:lncRNA from 1 species
AAAAAUCGUACCUGUAGAUUUCCCGAGCUUGAUGACUGAUGAUGAGCACGAGCGUGAUCUUCCGAUACCUGAAACAAAGGCAACGAGGUGUGUUCUCGUCGCCCCUCCGAUGCUUAAGUCAGAAAGGGGAAAUAUAUGCGUGAGGCUAUGUGCUGAAGAACAAUGAGAAAACGUACCUGAAUAAUGGCUCAAGGUCCUGUAUUUAUAGGGGUAGGUAGCGUGUUCAUAUCAGGAUUCCGCAUUGCACCUGUAGUAGGAUAGCUUGAUUUUGCAAUUUUAUACCAAUGAGUCCUACGCGAGAUAGGAGUUUGAAUUGAGGUAUAAUUGUGAUAACAAUAGAGUUCUUCUGGGCAUAGGAGACAUAAAUUAAGGAUAUUUAGUCAGAAUAAAUCUCUCGUUGGACAAGGCGCUGUUGUAGGUCAUAAUCCCGAGGACAUAGCCCCGAGGACAUGUCGAAUGAUUGUGUAAUAAAUCUUCGGGCUGAUAGCCCGGGCAUACAUGAUACCCGAGCACAUAUGUCCCGAGCAUUUUGAUACACAUACCGACGAAAUUGAGUCCUCGGUCUAUAUACGUCGAGAACAAAACUCGGUUAUAUCAUUGGCCCCCGUGCACCUGUGCUCGAUAAUAUGCACGAGGAUAGGUGCAAAAGGUCCUAGUUACAGUCCUCGGUAUAAAGCCUCUGUCGAUUAAAUACUGAGGAAGGCCUCCUAAGGGCUGACGUCAAGAUGUGAUAAUGAUGCCAGCCCUAGUAGAAAGGCGGUGUAAUUUUUAGACCACCGUGGGAUGUAGGACACGUGGAAUGAUUGAACGGUUCAGGAUGCGACCUUUGGACUCCCACCCAUGUUUCCCUAUAUAAGCCUCCAUUCCUAUUCAUUUUUUACUUUUUACUAUCAGUAAACCUUGUCGGAAUCGUCGGGAUAAGGUGAGUCCUCAAGACUUUAAGUUCAUUGUUUUUAGAAAAGUCUAUAUUUAAGAUAGGAUAUCGAGCAGUGAUAGCGAUACGUCAUCCUCGAGUUCGGGAACACCAACCGAGGACUUAGGGCGGUCAAUAAUACCUAUGGCCGUCCCCAUAAGUGCUAAUCCUCGAGCCCAGGAUAUCCCGACCCCACUAGUGUACCCCGACCAUCCUUGUAGGUUUAAGGAGCACUUAGCCGUGGCGUCUGCUAGGGAAUUCGGCCUGAUGCCGAACUGUGAUAUUAGGUCUCCUGGUAAUGAGGAUAGGGUAGCUAUUGCUCGGGAGGGAGAGUUUGUCAUUUUCAAAGAUUCUCUAAAGGGGGGAUUUAGGUGGCCAUUGCACCCCUUUUUCCUCGCGCUCUUGAUCGAGCAUAACAUGAGCCCGGGGCAGUUAGUGCCGAACGGGUGGAGGAUGCUGACAUACUUUUUUAUAGCUUGUAGAUACCUCGGGAUUAUCCCAUAUGUCGACUUAUGUAGGAUGGUCUUCGACCUAAAACAACUCCCCCAGUACUCUUGUUUUGCUUACCUUUCAACCCGAGGAGGGUUUAGAAUCCCGAGGAUGCCUAGCUCCCUGAAGGGGUGGAAGGAUAAGUGGUUCUAUGCUAUACCUCAAGAUCCCGACGUUCCCUUUAGUCCUCGGUGGCGGGUGCCUGAUACUGCUAGGUUUUGCGGGGGUCAGGCGUACUUUGAGUCAUUGGAGAGGCAUAGGCAAAUGCUAGAGGAGCUCGAGCCCCUCGUUUAUGACUUGGAUGAUAUCCUCGGGGAUGAUAUCCUCGAGCUUGCAAACUUGAAAGGAAUCGAGGAUAGGAUAUGUGAUUUUGACGUUUAAAUUCCUGAUCUGUCUUUUUACUAUGCUCGUGCUAAUCACAUGUUAUUUUUUGAUUUUUUGCAGAGAUGACGUUUGACCCAAGUGCUCUUCGUCAGGCAGUAAACAAAAAGUCCAAGGCUCCCCAGGCUCGGGCUCCAGGCCAGAGGAGGGGCCAAAAGAGGCCUCGGGAUGCGAGGCAGGAAAGGCAGACCAGUGGGCCUGGGAAAUCGUCAAGGCCCCGAGGACCGUCUCCCGGAAUAGGGAGGACGGGAUCUCAGCAGCAGGAUCUUCAGGGGACUCCUCGGGAGUCUCUUCCUCAGGAUCCUGUUGACGUGGUCGACCUCGAGGAUGGGUGCCUGCCACCGGAGCCGACGAAUCCAGAGGGAUGCUCUCGGUGCCACUCAGUGCUCAGCAUUGUCGACAAAUACCGAGCAGAUGUCGACUUAAGCAAUGGAUUGAGGGCGCUCGAGGCUAUGGCCUUGAAGGUAAGAUCGUUGGCUGUUUUUAUAUUAUUUUUGUUAUCUUUUCGUCUCGAGGUUAAGAAACAUGCACCAAUUUUCAGACACUGGGAAUAGCUCGAGGUCUUUCUUUGAAGGAAAAGGACGAGCCUUCAAAAAUGGCCGACCUCGAGGGUGCUGUAGCUGCUCGGGAUCUGAGGAUCGCCGACUUGGAGGAAGAGCGAGCUCAGCUAUUAAGGGAGCGUGAGCGUAUGCAAAAUGAUCUACGCAGUGCUCAGGGUGAGGCAGGCACUGCGAAGGCUGAGGCUGAGCACUUCAAGCUCGAGCUCGAUCAGCUUAAAAAAGAUUUUGGUGAGAAGCUGGCCAGUGCUCGAGAUGAAGCGAUCGAGGACUUCAAGAAGUCUGACGCCUUCAACGAGUUAAAGGGCGACUAUGCUAUAGGCUCUUACUUUCAUGCCUUGAAGGAAGCUCGAGCUUUCAUGCGCCUGAGGCCAGAUGCUCGCCCUGAGGAUCUGAAGUCAAUCCCCGAGGUGGCUGAUGACCUUCAUCUUUCAGAGUCUGAAGAGAACGCUGGGGAUGAAGACGUCGAUAUCGAGGGUGAUGACGUCGAGGAAGGCCAAGGCAGUCAGGAUACCGACGCCUAAAUUCGCCGAGCUUAUUCUGUAUUGUUAUUUUUUGUAAUUGUAAAAUGCCUGAUCUUAAUGGAGAUUGUUUUUUUCUUUUGACCGAGCUCAUUUGUGUUAUCGUCGUGUUUCUAUUUUCAUAUGCGCCGAACAUUAAUCAAUACCUCGAGAAGGAUUGAUUAUCUCAUUCAUAAAGACAAUUAAUUAUCUCGACGAUAAAGACAAUUAAUUAUCUCGACGACAAUAUCGAAUUAAUAGCCCGACGAAUAAAAAUCAUGACGAUUGAAAACAAAUCAAUCUGAUUUUUAAACGAGUCUUAAUGCCGGGGACAAUAGCGAAUAGUUCAACAGCUUGACGGUAAAUCUGUCCCGACGUUUAUAUUGAAUUAUCUCGAGGACUAAUCACGAUGGGUGGUUACCUCGGGGUAUUCGAAGAAUUGUGACCGACCUCUGUACGUAGUUUUAUCCCGAGCUCUCAUUUUUCAGCUUUGGCCAAAAAUAUAAGGAUAUAUGGUCGGGAUGUAUGUCCUCGGGAUUUAUACUUGUGCUGCACUAUUGUACCGAUUAUGAGCUCCAGGAUUUUGGUGCUUGUGAGAGACGAGGCUCAAAGGGGCUUGCUCGAGGGCAAGGCUCAGAGGGGCUUGUCAAGGACAAGGCUUAAAGGGGCUUGCUCGAGGGCAAGGCUUAAAUUGGCUUGUCAAAGACAAGGCUUAAAGGGGCUUGCUUGAGGGCAAGGCUUAUAUUGGCUUGUCAAAGACAAGGCUUGAAGGGGCUUGCUUGUGGGCAAUGCUUAAAGGGGCUGUUAUACCCGAUGUUUGGAUUUAUUAAUUGUUUGGACUGGACUUGGAUUUAUAUUGCAUCCAAGCUGCCUACGUACCCAAACGGGAUCAAGUCGAACGUAGUUCAUUACAAAAGAGAACGGAAAACAUGCAUGGGCACGCAGGCCCGCUAAACUAGAAAUAAAAUGCAGAAAAAGAAAAUCUCCUCAAAGGCGUCGGGAAUUUUACUUGUAAUAUAUUUUCAGAUUGUCGGCAUUCCAGGGCCUCGGAAGAGGUCUACCCGAAGUGUCUCUUAGGCUGUAUGCUCCUUUGCGAACCUGCCGUAUGACCUCAAAGGGCCCUUUCCAGACGGGCCCGAGCUUCCCUGGGGGGUGGCCUGCUGCUUCGGCCCUCCUCAAGACCAAAUCGCCAGCUCUGAACCUCCGAGCCUUGACUUUGCGAUUAAAAUGUUUUGCUGUCUUUGCUUGGUAAGAGGCCACUUUUAUAGCGGCUUGCUCCCGUACUUCUUCCAAGAGAUCAAGAUGUUCAGUUGUAUACUCCGAGGUUUCUGGCACGAGCCUCCUAUGGCUUGGCAGUCUAAUUUCCACUGGGACCAUUGCUUCAAUGCCAUACGCUAACAUAAAAGGGGUUUCUCCUGUGGUUGUCCUAUGAGUUGUUCUAUACGUCCAAAGUAUAGAAGGCAGCUCGUCGAACCAAGAACCUCUAGCAUCGCUUAUUCUUGUUCGGAGGUCUUGCAAUAUGAUUCGAUUUGUUACCUCGGCCAGACCGUUGCUCUGAGGAUGCGAAACUGAUGUCAGACGGUGAUCAAUUCCAAGGUUUGAGCAAAAGUUUCUAAACUGUUGGUUGUCAAAUUGCCUGCCAUUGUCGGUGAUGAGGACCUUUGGUAUCCCAAACCUGCAAAUGAUAGACCUCCAAGUGAAGGCUCUUAGCUUGGGCUCCGAUAUUGUGGCGAGAGGUUCGGCCUCUACCCAUUUUGUGAAGUACUCUACUGCUACAGCAACAAACUUUAAUUGACCUCUUGCCACAGGAAAGGGGCCGAGGAUGUCAACUCCCCAUUGUUCAAACGGGGCCGAACAGUUAAUGUUGGUGAGGUCUUCGGCUGGUGAGUGGAUAAUAUAGCCAAACCUCUAGCACUUAUCACAAUUUUUAACAUAUUCUGAGGCUUCUUUUUUCAUAGUUGGCCAGUAGUAUCCAUAUCGUACGAGUUUAAAGGCCAAGGCCCUGGCUCCUUGAUGAUUCCCGCACACACCUUCAUGAACUUCAGCAAGGGCCUGGGAUGAUUCUGAUGGCCUGAGACACCUUAGGUACGGAAGAGUAAUACUUCUGCGAAAAAGGACACCGCUGAUCAUGCAGUACCUAGGAGCUCGGGCUCUGAUGCUUCUGGCCAACCUGGCAUCGCUUGGUAGACUUCCGUUUGUGAUGAAUUCUAUGAUCGGGUCCAUCCAGGAUGGUUCAUUGUCAAUGUCCAUGAUGCCGAGGAUUUGACUGAUGCUGGGUUCUGUGAUGAUUUUAAUGUGAACCGUUCUGUCAAGGCCGUCUACCCCCAUGAACAUAAGCCUGGAUAAUGCAUCCGCUUUUCCGUUGUCCUUUCGAGCAAUUUUUGUAAUUUCACAGCUCUUGAAUUUUCGCUGAAGAUCAUGAACCUUCAUACAGUACAAACUCAUUUUCUCCUCCUUCCUUUCAAAUGAUCCUUCAAUCUGUCCGACCACUAGCUGUGAAUCACUGAAUACCUUUACGAACUCGAGCUCUAGGCAAAGGGCUAGUUCAAGAGCAAUAACGACGGCCUCAUACUCGGCCUCGUUGUUGGUUGCUUCAAACUCGAAUCUGAGAGCGCAUUGGAUCUCUGUUUGUUUGUCUGGGCUGAUGAUGAUGACCCCUGCACCCGAGCCCGAGGAGUUCGAUGCUCCAUCCACAAAUAUUUGCCAAGUGUCCAAGUUAGUGCUCAUGCUCGAGCUCUCACCUGGCCCCCGAGGCCUAGGGGUUAGUUCUGCAAUGAAGUCGGCCAGAGCUUGGGCUUUGAUAGAUGGGCGUGGUUUGAAUUCUAUGUCCAAGGCAAGGGCAAGUUGUUCUGCCAAAGUAUACCUGGUUUCUGCGUCCAGUAGGACCUUGCUUACAUAGUAGAUAGGCUGUUGGACUUUGUUAACCUCUUUCACCAAGACCCCGCUGACAGCAUUUUGAGAUACGGCCAAGUACAGAAAUAAGGUGUCACCAGGCUCAGGCCUAGUGAGAAUUGGGGGAGAUGCCAAUGUUUGUUUGAGCUCCUGGAAAGCUUUCUCACAGUCUUCACUCGAAUCAAAGCCUUGGUUUCCUCUGAGGACUUUGAAGAAGGGAUAGCACCUGUCCGAUGCUCGGGACAUGAACCUGUUCAAGGCUGCUAUCCUACCGGUCAACCUCUGUACCUCUUUCUUGUUCCUUGGCGAUUCCAUAGAAGCCAAGGCUUGUAUUUUGUCAGGGUUGGCCUCUAUCCCCCGAUGAGUGAUCAUAAAACCCAAGAACUUGCCCGAGGCUACGCCGAAUGCACAUUUCGCGGGGUUCAACUUCAUUCCGUACUUUCGCAAGGUGUUGAACACUUCUUCAAGAUCUGAAAUAUGUUGGUCCACCUGUUUGCUCUUCACCACCAUGUCAUCAACGUACGCCUCCACAUUCCUUCCAAUUAAGUUAGCGAAGACUUUGUUGAUGAGUCUUUGGUAUGUUGCCCCUGCAUUCUUCAAAUCGAAAGGCAUGACCUUAUAACAGUAUAUGGCGGAAUCGGCCAUGAAUGAUGUCUUUUCUUGAUCUUCUUCGGCCAUGAGGAUUUGAUGAUAACCUGAAAAUGCAUCCAAAAAGCUGUAUAGCUUAUGUCCAGACGGGCUAUCCACCAAGUUGUCAAUCCGUGGUAGGGGAUAACUAUCCUUUGGACAUGCUUUGUUAAGAUCUGUGAAGUCAAUGCAGACCCUCCACUUACCAUUGGCCUUCUUUACUAAAACAACAUUGGCAAGCCAAUCGGGAUAUUGGACCUCCCGAAUGAAAUGAGCGCUGACGAGUUUGUUAAUCUCUUCGCGAAUGACCUCCCGUCGUUCUGGGGCAAAUCUUCCCGGAUGACCUCCCGGCGUUCUGGGGCAAACUGUCUUUUCCUCUGUUUUACUGGCCUGGCCCCUGGGCUAAUAUUAAGCCUAUGGACUGCAAUUUUAGGGUCUAUCCCCGACAUAUCCUCAACCCUCCAGGCAAAAACGUCGAUGUUGCGAGAUAAGCAACUAACAAGUUCUGUUUUCAGGGUGACGUCAAGAUCCCGACCAAUCGUCACCUUCUUAUCAUGCUCGAGCUCAAUUUCCAUCAAUUCUUCGACAGGAGCAAGUCUGACUUGUUGCUCGUCCUCGGGAUCCAUCCUCGCGAUUUGCAUGACGUCGUUAUUUAUUUCCCGAACACUGGCAACAUAGCAUUGUCUGGCAGCUGUCUGGUCUCCACGGACAACCCCAACGCCAUUAUUUGUUGAAAACUUCAUGGCUAGGUGGAAGGUGGACACAAUGGCUUUAAUCUUGUUCAGGAGUGGUCUUCCCAGAAUUGCGUUAUAGGCCAUUGAGACACGUACCACAUGAAAAGAUGUCAUCUCCGUAACCUGUUUCUGGCCAGAACCCAAAGUUAGUGGAAGCUCAACUACACCCUCUGGAGUGAUGACUCCUCCACCAAACCCCUGGAGAGGAGUUUUAACCGCUUUGAGCUGGUGAGAUGAGAUUCCCAUUUUGGCAAAAGCUUCUUGUGAAAGUAUAUUGGCCGCACUCCCGUUGUCAACCAAGAUCCUCUUUACUUCGAAAUUGGCCACAAUCGCUGAGAUUACCAAGGCGUCAUCAUGUGGAAGUGAUACGCCUUCUAAGUCUCCCGUCCCAAAAGUAAUAUCCUCCAGCUUUCCCUGAGGCAUACCAGAGGCCAAGGCAUAUCGUCGGGCAUAUUGUUUUCUUCGACUGUUGGAGUCUCCUCCCGAGGCAAUACCUCCAAUGAUGAUAUUGAUGGUUCCAGCAGUAGGUUGACCAUCCCUUUUUGCCUCAGGGUCUUUUUCCCUGCCACGAUCAUUCCUCGGGCGUUUGUCGUUACCGACGUAGGAGCUCAGGAGUCCUCUUUUAAUAAGGGCUUCAAUCUCCCGUUGCAGGGCCUUACAGUUCUCCGUGGUAUGCCCAUGAUCCCGAUGGAAAUCACAGUACUUGUUCAUGUCCCUGGAUUCGGGUGGGGACCUCAUUCUGACUGGCCAUUUCAGUUCCUUCAUAUCCUUGAUCUCCAUCAAUAUAUUGGUCUUUGAUGUAUUUAAACGCGUGAACGGCGUCGGGGGAACCUCCUGUCUCUGUUUUUUCCGAUGCUGUUCUUCACGAGGGUUCGGGUCAUGCUGUCUUUUAUGCUCCAUCUUGUCAUGGGAUGGUCCAACCUUUCUCGGGAUGAAGUCACGUAGGGUCUCAUUUUGCCCUUGUCUAAGUUGCAUGAGGGAAGCUGCUGUCUUCCUGAUGCGUUUGUUGCUUGCGAAGAAAGCGGAGAACUUGUCUGCCAAAUCCGAGAAUGAGGCUAUGGAGUUGGACUCUAAGGUUGAGAACCAAUCCCUAGCGGCAUUCGUCAAGGUUUGCGGGAAGGCCUUGCACAUCACCUGAUCUGGUGCGACCUGUAAAUUCAUGACGUCCGUAUAUAUGUUCAGAUGAUUGAUUGGAUCGGUGGUCCCAUCAUACUCUUUGAUCCUAGGAUACUUAAAUCUGUCCGGCAAGGGGAAUGUUAAUAUCUCGGGAGUAAAUGGAGUAUUGGGACUGAAUCUUGUCAUCCCUUUAUUGCCCUGAAAUAGGCCCGCCGUAAUUCCUUCUUGGAUAAUCCUAGCGAGUUCCCCGGACUCCAUGGUCACUGAUCUCGAGGUCGAGGUCACAUGUGGUAUACCCGAGGCCCCUGCUCCGCCAUUGUCAGGGACAUGAGCUCGAGCUCGAGCAUCAGCCAUAAAACCCCCCUGGGGUGCCGGUGUGGGUGAUGGAUGAGAAUUUCUUUGACUUAGCAGCUGAGUCAGUGCGGCGACCUGUUGCCUGAGCUCUUCAAAGGCUCCAGUAGUGACGACUGCCGGCUGGGGCUCUGGCACUUCUGAUGAUUCCUCUUGAGGAACAGGGAUAUCCUCAGGAGGGGGUUGGUUUGGAGCGGAUGAGCUUGCGGGUGGAAGACCUGAUCGUGUGUUUACCAUGGCUUUUGGUAGCGCUUCCCACAGACGGCGCCAAUGAUGCUACCAAAAAUCGUACCUGUAGAUUUCCCGAGCUUGAUGACUGAUGAUGAGCACGAGCGUGAUCUUCCGAUACCUGAAACAAAGGCAACGAGGUGUGUUCUCGUCGUCCCUCCGAUGCUUAAGUCAGAAAGGAAAAUAUAUGCGUGAGGCUAUGUGCUGAAGAACAAUGUAAAACGUACCUGAAUAAUGGCUCAAGGUCCUGUAUUUAUAGGGGUAGGUAGUGUGUUCAUAUCAGGAUUCCGCAUUGCACCUGUAGUAGGAUAGCUUGAUUUUGCAAUUUUAUACCAAUGAGUCCUACGCGAGAUAGGAGUUUGAAUUGUGGUAUAAUUGUGAUACCAAUAGAGUUCUUCUGGGCAUAGGAGACAUAAAUUAAGGACAUUUAGUCAGAAUAAAUCUCUCGUUGGACAAGGCGCUGUCGUAGGUCAUAAUCCCGAGG